UUUAGGUCUCUACGAUCUAGGUUUUGGGGUCCUGAUGGUGGUAGGUAGGCUAGGACGAAGCGGAAUAAAGGGAUCUCUUCGGCCUCUUCCUCGUCCUGCCGGUGUGGCCUGUGUAGAUGGCGCCAGGCCGGCGAGGGUAGGGCUCUCGACUUCCUACUUGUGGCGCUUUGUAUAGGAGUCAUGAGCUGGCCGCCGUUCCAUCCAAUUCAAGAGGCUGCGGCCAGUCCAGGAUCUCAUGAGCACGGGCAGGUUCCCUGGCCGUGGCUGGGUGAUUCUUCCAGCUCACAAAGGCCAUGUAUGGCGAUGGUGCUCCAGACGCCCUUGUAUGUUUGGGCUAUUUUGGUUUUACUUCCAUGUGUGUAGGUGGGGAUUGCACGGUAGGAGUUUUUGCAGAGGCUGUAGAUAGAAGAGGUCAUGAGGCUGAACAUCCUGUCCAAUCAGGAACACCCUUAUUUUUGCACAGAGAUGGGUGGUCAUGGAUUCAAAGAAGGCGGAGUGUAGUCAUGUAGUGUCGCUGGUGUUUCUCGGUGUCAGGUUAUGUUUGGCCAUUGGCAUGCAUAUUGAUGCGCCAUGCAUCUCCUUUCAUCAUGAUGGUCAGCGACCGCGUCUUCGCCGCCGGAGCUGUUCAGUAUCACCUACUCUCGGGUGAAGCUCGGCGAGAGAGGCCCUAUAGUUUACAAAUAUUCGUGGAGCUCUCACAAUGGCAGACAGAGAGAGGAGCUACUCCAGCAUUGCAUGGCUGACAGCAAGUGACUAAUGCCCUAAUCUUGUUGUGUAAAUUAAUGCAACUGGCGUUAACUUGUAGAGCAUCAUGUUGUUAGAAUAGUUCUAAGGUCACCGUGUGAUUUCGUUUACAUUUUUGCUUGCUUGCCGGUGUACCAAACAAGAUGGAUGUAGCUUCUGCCGAGGUAUGGACGAGGGGCGGGUCCGUUCCUCUGUUCCUGCUC